UAGCUCAGUUGGUAAAGAAUCUGCCUGCAAUGCAGGAGACCCGGGUUCAAUUCCUGG
rnacentral:tRNA from 1 species